GGACAAAUAUCAUGUUUAACCCCUGUGGUAGGGUUAUAAACCACCAUUAUACCCGUGGAUGGGCCGUAUACCAUGUUUCUCUCCCGUGAUAGGGUUAUAAAUCACCAUUAUACCCGUGGCUGGGCCGUAUACCAUGUUUCACCCCCGUGGUAGGGUUA